GGCAGAUGGGCUCAGCGGGCUUUUCGGGUCGUGAAAGAAGGGAAGGCUAAAGAGUGCUACCGCUGAGAGGAGGCGGCUAGGCGGCGGGGGCGCGCCGUCGAGGAGGAGGAAGGGGCGGUCGAGCCGCCGCGGGCGAGGUACAGGGCGAUGAUGCGGGCACUGCUCCAAAGUGCCAAGCUGCGCGACUCGUGCGGCCACUUGACCCCGCACUCGUAGCACGGCCUCUUCUUCCGGAAGCACUAACUCGCGAAGCCGUUCAUGGAGUUCUGCGAGCUGAGGCCCUAGGUGCCUGAGCAGGGGGAGCAGCUGGCGUAGCGGAUGCACGUGAGAGAGUUCCUCCUUCGGUAGGGGUAGGGGCUGGUCAGGCGAUAGUGGUUCCUAUUGCACCAGUAGGUCUAGCUGCCGCAGGAGAUGCAGUUCUAACAACUAGGGAUGGCACGAAGUAUACCGCACCUCUUAGGGUAAAAACGUCAGUAAGUUGAACGCGUCUGUUGAUACUCUUCACUCGAACCUUUCUAUUGGAACCUGUUCUGAAAACUUCUCUCUCUGUGUAACUUACUCUUCUAGCACUCCAGGUAUUUACUCCGAAGCUGUCUGACCCCGAACUUCACAGAAGCAAUACUCUAGUCCCUGUAAAGAGGAGGUGGCCCGCACUUCUUACGAUACCUCUACGUUCGUCUCCGUCUUUCCUCUUUCGCACGAGUUUAAGAGGUCAGUCUUCCCCGAUACAACCUAGUCCGUUUGGCGCGUUUCCCACUCCGACUUCGCUAAGAGAGGUUCAGUGUUCGAUGGCGGCUUCCCUAAUCUUACCAGAGUCUCAGGUACUCUCGACUUCCGUCACGACUCCGACGUUUUGACUCUUAACGACUUGUCAUGUAGUGUCGUAAACGACGAGACCGGUUCUUGUGGUGCUGUUACGAAGAAGGUUCGCUGCGACCGUUGGGUAGUAGAUACUAUCGGGUCAGAGAGGUCUAUAUGUUCGUGUAUUCGGUCAGGUCGUCGGGCUUUCCUCCCUUGGUUGUCCGUCUUCUUCAACUCCUUCGUCCUGGGGUUCUUCUCCCGCUAUGCAAGCCGGACGGAAGACACUGGUCGCGCUACGGUGGGUCGUGCGUUUGUCCGGUACCGUCGUGCAAGAGGGACGUCUUCGCAUUUCUUACUAGUCGGACAAGUUCAUGGCUUCCCUUGGGAAAAAUCUAUCCUCCCACAGUGACUUUUGUCGUCGUCGUAAACUCCAAAGCUCGAAUUAAGUACACUACAACUCAACCGAAUCCAACUAUACCAUUAACUGGACUGUAAUCAAUAGGUCCGCGGUUUACGUUUCCUCCGAUCCGCUGACCCCUCUAAAACUGCCGUCGGACGUUCUGAACACAUUACGUUCAUAUAGCGAGUGCUACGGUCGUAUGAGAACUACCGUUAUAAAGUGACGUCGGAAAAUAAGCACACAAGGCUACAGUCAAAAUGUACAAGUGUCAAACGUACAGCAGGAUGAGAUAAAUGAAGACGUUACCAAAAUGAGACCUUAAAGCAAGUCUCAGCCACCGUUCUAAAGAGAUGCCUAGACCUAAGAUGGUUACUAACCG
rnacentral:rRNA from 1 species